rnacentral:tRNA from 1 species
GAGGAUAUAGCUCAGUGGUAGAGCAGGUGCUUAGCAUGCCCAAGGUCCUGGGUUCAAUCCCCAGUACCUCCA